rnacentral:tRNA from 1 species
GUGGUUGUAGCUCAGUUGGUUAGAGCGUCUGGUUGUGGCCCAGAAGGCCGGGGGUUCGAGUCCCCUCAUCCACCCCA